AUGUAAUGAAGUCCUACACUUGAGAAGCACAGCUCCUGCAAAUUGCAUUCAAUUGUCUUUUUCUCAGCACCAAUCUUUGAGUAAAUAAUUUUCACUCGUUGAUUUCCCCAAGGUUUACCACCUACUUCACCAACCACCACUUCCACCUCCAGACCAUCCAUUGCCAGACUGACUUUGAAGAACCUCUCUCGAAGCCCGUCCCCAACCAGAACUCCAAAUGGCUCUCCCCUACUUCUAUUUGCACAUGGCAUGUGAUUCUGUUACUCUUAUCUCUGCAUUUCCUUAUAUUCCUUCUGUUAGCCUUCUCUUGUAGAAUACUCCAUUGGUCUUUCAUCCAUAUCCCCUAUCAAUACCACCCCUCAAAAAUUGCAUUUUCCUCAAGGCUGCAUUGUAGAAACAAGAGAAAUAAAUCAAGCCAUGGAUCUUAAGUUCCUUGGCUAGCAUGACUAUUGGUAACUUAAUCUCGGAUUUUUCCACCAAAUCAAUUUCAAAGCUUAACUAACUCCAAGAAUAUCUCAUUCUCUAUCCAUUCAAGUAAUUGAAUACUACAGACAAAGAUAAGAAAAAUUGUCUGCAGAAGAAUUUUCAUAAUUGUCUUCCUACUAAAAGUUGCAAGAAAGACUUCCAAGAUAAAAUCCCAAAAUGUCCACACAUAUUGCCGACAGGGUUGAAUAGGGAAUCCAAAACCUAUUGAGGUUGCAACACCCAGGGUAAUGCACCAAAAUCUAAAUAGCAAAUUAUGUGAAAGUUCCUCAAUGUAUUUAUUUCCAUUAUCAGUAAGUUUAAUGAAUUUCAGCAACACCAAUGCAUCACUUAUGUGCGGAAGAACUAGAGAGAUCUCUCCUUGUAAUAAAAUUGACAGCCAAAUGCAUCACCGAAGCCAGGAAUAAAAUUGUGAGUAAUUGCAAGUGUGGAAAAUAUGGUAACAGCCAGAGUGUAAUUGCUGAGAGCUGAGUAUCUAUGAUACCAGUAUUUUCAGAUGAAAAAGCAUCAAAUUCUUCCAUAGCAACAUAAUGACCCAGAUAAAGAUUAAGAGUGUGCCGACUAGACCCAGUUUCAAUUGAGGAUACAAUACCAAGUUUAAUCCACCAUAGACUAAUUCGAAAAUUAUGAGAAAAUUUCCUUUUAUACUUCCAAUUCCUGAAUUUAUAAGCGGAGGAAUUUGACCUUCUGGUGUAAUAUACUGUUACCAGCAACCCAAGUUUGUUUCACUAGAGUUGAUACAGAUGGUUGAAUAAAUGGCAACAUACUUACAUCUUCAGCAAGAAAAGUAGUGCGAAAUCCCCAAUUAUCAAUACCAGUACCAGAACAUAUAAUCAGCUUUGCUGCUGCUAAAGGAGGUGUGGUAAGUUGGGUUGUAGCCGAUCCUCUCUCUCCCUUUCACUAUUUUUAACUGAGAAAUUCCACCCCACCAAAUGAAUUGCAACUUGUUGGAUAUCGGUAUUUUUCUGGAGAUGAAUCCCUGCCUUGUUGAAUGAGACAAUUGCUUUGUCUUAACAUUUCUCAACCCAGCUGGGGAGGUUCAGGAGGUGGCCUUUCUCAAGGAAAAA
rnacentral:misc_RNA from 1 species